rnacentral:lncRNA from 1 species
AUCCACAAAAGACCAAAAUGACACAGACAUUAACAACAAUAGGUCACCGUACGGCCUUCAACAAUGAGAAAAGCCCAUACCGCAUAGUGAGCUAUAAUAGGCCCCGAUAAGACAAUGUAAAACAAUUCAAACGAGAAAACUAACGGCCUUAUUUAUGUAAAAAAAAAAAUAACGAAAAACAAAUAUGUAACACAUAAACAAACGACAACCACUGAAUUACAGGCUCCUGACUUGGGACAGGCACAUACAUAAAUAAUGUGGCGGAGUUAAACAUGUUAGCGGGAUCCCAACCCUCCCCCUAACCUGGGACAGUGGGAUAACAGUACAAC